UUGGGUUUAUCUCAAAAGGAUCAAGCUCUUACCCUGCUGGAAACUUAGUAAGAAAUGCUAAAAAAUUUGGAAAGACAUUAUCACAUCUCUCCGUCCUCUCUCUGAUGUUCCUCUCAAAAUGGUAUUCCCUAAUUCAUAUUCCUAUUGCAAGAAAAAAUCUAGAUUUGUGGAAAACUUCUUUGACUUCAUGCAUCGAACCUGAAAUUUUAAAUGUCC
rnacentral:lncRNA from 1 species